AUUGAACGCUGGCGGAAUGCUUUACACAUGCAAGUCGAACGGCAGCAUAGAGAGCUUGCUCUCUGAUGGCGAGUGGCGAACGGGUGAGUAAUAUAUCGGAACGUACCUAGUAAUGGGGAACAACUAGCCGAAAGGUUAGCUAAUACCGCAUACGACCUACGGGUGAAAGCAGGGGAUCUUCGGACCUUGCGUUAUUAGAGCGGCCGAUAUCUGAUUAGGUAGUUGGUGGGGUAAAAGCCUACCAAGCCAACGAUCAGUAGCUGGUCUGAGAGGACGAUCAGCCACACUGGAACUGAGACACGGUCCAGACUCCUACGGGAGGCAGCAGUGGGGAAUUUUGGACAAUGGGGGCAACCCUGAUCCAGCCAUUCCGCGUGAGUGAAGAAGGCCUUCGGGUUGUAAAGCUCUUUCACAAGAGAAGAAAUCUUACUAUCAAAUAAAUAGUAAGGAUGACGGUAUCUUGAGAAGAAGCACCGGCUAACUACGUGCCAGCAGCCGCGGUAAUACGUAGGGUGCGAGCGUUAAUCGGAAUUACUGGGCGUAAAGCGUGCGCAGGCGGUUUUAUAAGUCAGAUGUGAAAUCCCCGAGCUCAACUUGGGAACUGCGUUUGAAACUGUAAGACUAGAGUGUGUCAGAGGGGGGUAGAAUUCCAUGUGUAGCAGUGAAAUGCGUAGAUAUAUGGAGGAAUACCAAUGGCGAAGGCAGCCCCCUGGGAUAACACU
rnacentral:rRNA from 1 species